UUGCACGACGUGUUAACGUGCUACCAGUCCAAUCCAUACCACACAGAAAAUAAAUAUACAAGAAUACAUGUAUAUGAUCAAUGAAUAUCAAAUUUCAUACUCCUGUACUGGUAUAGCUGAUAUGCUAAGGUGUAUGCAUGUGCAAAGUGUACUAUCAUAGCUCAAGUUAGGCAUUUGCAUCACGAAAGUAGCAAUUAUCAGGUUCAAUAAGGAGAUUAACCUCUAUGUAACCUCAAACAUGGCUCAAAUAGCUCACAAUAGUGGUACAAAUAUAAGAACUACCACAACAUGAAACUUAGCAAUCAAUCCAAGGCAUAUCAUAGCCUAAACACUACCCGGGGCAUAAACAAUAUCUCGGUUCACACACAUAGGCUCAAUCCCACACAUAUGCGCCACCCAUAGUAUGUAGCUAUCAAACAUAACUCAAGCAACUAGUGCCUCAACCAAGUUUAGGAAAGAUAAAAAAUUUCAUACUUACGGACUUAACUAGGUAAGAGUUAUGAAAUCAAAAACCUUCCGAACAAAUAGUACAACACAUGAGUAAUCCGUAAGAGAAACUAUAAUUUCCAUGGCUAAUUAAGUAGUGUGCCAAGUUUCUAGAAUAGCAAAGCUCGAUACUUUACGCAAGUCUAGUCUCAGGAUAAAACAUGAAUUAAAGCAUUUGAAUAGGUAAGAAUAACCCAAGUAACAUAGUUAAAGCAUGGUGUAAGUCUAUGUCUACUCGAAAAUAAACAAGAAUCUAGUAUACACACGGACGCGUGUUACCUUAUUUGUGCAUAACUCCCAUAACACAUAACAUAUAGGAAAUAAAGCACUUGUGGGGAUAAAUUCUUUCUUACAAGGUUAGACAUGAGACACUCCUUAUUCUGAAAUCCAAUAAUCGGAUCCAACACCUCAAACCAAUGCCAAAUGAUCCUAAAUUAGCCAAAGAACUUGCAAACAAAUCAAAACAUAUUAAAAAUUCGUAAUUUAACAAUUAGAAACAAUCCUCAACCCCACAUAAAAAUUCAAUAAAAAUCAACCUUGGGCCCACGCGCCCGGAUUCCAAAUAUUCUCAAAAAUAAAUAUUACUCAUAGCACCACGAACUCAAAUAUAUAAUUUAUUCCAAAUUUCAUGUCCAAUUUCGUGGUCAAAUCCCCAAAAUUCCAAUUACUAGGUUUUCUUUAAAAAUUCCACAAUUUCUACAAAUUUGCAUGUUUAAAUCCAAAUUUAACCCAUGUAUUUAGCUCACUACAAGUUGGAAUGCCUUAACUUGUGAUAUAUGAUGAAAAUGUCCCUCCAACAUCUCCCCAAAAUUGGCUCAAAAUGAGAGAAAUGAGAUGAAAUGACUGAAGCCCUGAUUUGCAACUUAUAAACUGCAUAGUCGUUCCUCUUCGCGAUCGCGGAAGUACCCCCGUAGUCGCGAAGGCCAAAUAUUCUGCUGCUAAAAGUCCCCCACACGAACGCGAGAAGGGGCCCGCGAACGCGAUGCCUUACCAGGCCUGCUUUACACAAAUGCGACUGUACCUUCGCGAGCAUGAAGGCCAAACCUCAUGACCCAGUUUUUUUCUUCACAAACGCGACCUCCUUGUUGUGAACCCGAAGCACCACUGCCACAAGCCCUCGUGAAUGAGACUCACCCAGCAUGAACACACAGACAAAUGGCCCCCAGCACAAUUGCUUCAUCGCGAACGCAUGCUUCCCACCGCGUUUGCGAAGUUCAACACCAGAACGAACAACCAACAGCGAUAUUGUCCAAAACCAUCCUGAAACCCACUCGAGGCCCCCCAAACUCCGUUCAAUCAUACAAACCAGUUGAUAGCCUCAUCUUUGCCCCGUGCCUUCUCAUUUGACUUCUCCUUGGCAACUUGAGCCUCGUUGAACAUGGACUCUGUAUGAGACGGCGAUUCCGCGAUGUCAAUGACACCGACUAUUUCCCUCGAGGCAGGGAUAACUUCUCGGGGGGGCGCAACUUUUGAUUUUCCUUCUGGAUCUUGAGCUAAAGAGGGAUCGGCCUCUCGGCCACCUUCUCCAGUUACCGCAUGUUCUUCUUCGUCAAUGGUCGACCCAUGGGGGACGAACUCUAGUUCAUCAUCUUCAGGGUAAUCCCUGAGCCGGUAGAGGGAGUUGGAGUCUGGUACCCAACUUGUGUUCUCUUCUUGUUUUUUUUCCAGACCCGGACAUUUACUCUCUUCUUCCUGGCCUCGGCGUCCGGGGAACUAUAAGAUUUCCUCUUUUUCCUCUUUUUAUCCUCCUAUGCAGCAGCUACAUGCUGUCCCAAAGCAGAGGGUUUAGCAAGAGAGGACAGAGCCUCGUCCUUGUCCAAUGGAUGAAACUUAGUGGUCUUGGGCAACCUGUACAAGAGAAAGGACUUAGUAGAAAUAAAGGUUGAGUAUGAAAGUAGACUUGUUCAGGAGAAGCACUCACAAUGGGACCAGACCUCCCACUUACCCUUUGAAAGUUUGCACCAUUCGCGCUCAAAAUAUGAUAUUUGUUUGCAGAUUCACUCGAUCCACUCCUUGAAGUGAGGGACUACGUUGGGAAACCACUGCACGGUGAUAGGAACAGGCAAUUAUAAAAAGAACAAAAGAAAUUUGAAGUACUCAGGAAGGAAAGAAACUUACGUGCUGAGUUCCACUUUUCAUGGAACAGUAAAAAUUCGGGGGGAAUGAGGUCUUCCGUUUUCACCCGAACAAAUCUCCCCUCCCAACCAUGAUCCCGAUCUUCAUCGAUGAUCGAGAAUGGAGCUUUACUCGCUUGAUGGAUGAGCUUGAUUAAACCCCCUCAGAAAACUUAGGAACGUAGAGACGAAGUAGGUGGUCGAUGGUAAAUCGAGGUGCUUCGGUGUUAUUGGCAAAAUGGAGGAGGAGGCUUACGAUCCUCCUAAAGGACGGGUGAAUCUGCUCAAGGCAGACCUCGUACCUUUUGCAAAAACUGAGAAUUAUAGGAUCCACCGGGGCAAGCGUGAAUGGGUAAGUGUAAACACUUAGGUACCCUUCCACAUGAGUGGUAAUGUCCUCAUCGGGAUCAAAGAUUACCACUUCAUUGCCCUACCAGUUGCAGUCCUCCCGAACUGUAGGGAGUGUAUCCUCGAUAACUGAGCAGAUGUACCUCCAUAACCCCUCGCCUUGGUCUUGUUGACUAGAGGCUUUCUCGACUUUGAAGUCAUUUUCAAUGGAGCAGCCUCCGGGGAUGAAGCUCUUCAAGGGAGGUUCCGUGACCACCUCAGGCACGACCACCUCGGCAUCCAUGGAUGGGUUGGAAGUUAAAGGGACGGUUUGUUGAGGCACAGAUUUGGAAGUCUUUGCCAUCAGAUUCUAAGAUAUAUGAAGAUUUAAAGGUGGGGAUGAAGAUUUGAAGGUAAGGAUGAAGAUUUGAAGAUAAUGAUGAAGGUAUGAAGGUCAGAUUUGAAGAUGAAAAUAUGAAGGUCUGGAAAACAAUGUAUGAAGGUUUGAAGGAGUUAAGAAUAAGUGAAGAAUUCAUGGGUAGAUUAAGGAGUUCUGGAAUGGGAAAGUAAAAAAGUAAAAAAAGGACCGACGCUUUUAUAGAGAAGGGGUAAUCAAUGCGUGUCGUUUUGCAUUCGGGGACGUUCAACCGGCGGCUGACACAAAUUCGAAGUCAGAACGACGCAACUGAUGGGACAUUUUACUGACCUGUCAACUCGGUUGUAGCGUACGGAAGAAGGAACCGGGGUUAAUUUAUCGCUUUACGUCGCUUCGAUAAAUCUACUCUCCGAGAAAUGAAGGGACUAUCUGUAUACAGGUAAAAUCAGGGCUAGAGUUUUCCCCGAUUCCCCGAUGAGGAAACGAAGGGGAAGCACAGCUCGACAUGAUUAUAAUCAAGACCCAAAGACCCCUCGUAUCGAAACCCAUGAGAUAUGAACGAUGUAUCUGGGAUCAGGCACGGUGAACUAACGAACCCAGACCAAGUAUAGUUUUUGGAUCUCGAAAAACACGGAGAACGGUUAUGCAUGGCGAAUAUGGGCUAUGAUAUUCGCCCUCAACCGGAUAUUACCGUGCAAAUCCCUUCCGAUAUCAACUGCGGAUCGACAUUUACCGAAAAAACAAAAAUUUUACCUUAUUUAGACUUGUAUUAAGACUGAAAUUCUCCUAUUAUAUAAAGGGGAAGGUUUAUUUUAUUUUGACACAAUGUGACACAAAUCAAAGCAAUAAAAGUGUAUUUUUGUCUUCUAGCUAUUGUUCAAAGUGUUCUUCAUUUGUUCUCUUAUUUAUUCAUGAUCGAGCAUGUAUCGAGGGUCUGAUCGAGGAUAAAUUAAUGUUCAACCUAAGAUCUGGCUUGAUCAUCACAUUGCGAUUGGUUUGAUCAUUUAUUUUAUCUCUAACUUAUACAUGUUGUUCUUAAUCAUUCGUAUUGAAUCAAAUCACAUAUCUUUUAAACCGCGUAUAAAUUUAAUUGUUACUCAUUUUUUUAGAGUAAACACAUAUAAUAUUAGACAAUUGAUCAAAUUAACUUUUGAAAAGUGCAAAGUCUCUAGCGUUUAAGGAUUGAGUAGAAAAGAACAUUUGGAUAAUUCUUUAGCACUACAUUCAUGAUAUAAUUUAAAUUUUAGCAGUUAUACUUUUAAAGUUUUUUUAUUAUCUUAUGAUAUGGUAUUUAUAUAAAAUGUAAAAGCUAUCCUAAUUUUUUGGUUUGAUUCAGCCUGUUUUAAUAAUAUUUUGGGCACCUUUAUCUAGAAAAACGAAAUCAAACUAUAGCAAUAUUAAGACACCACGUUUUGGGAAAUCCCUCCCUCGUUUGCUCUAUGUGCUUUCAAAGUAGGGAUGGGUAUCGGUCGGUUCGGUUCGGUUUGUAAAAUUUCGGUUCGGUUAAUUUGGUUUUCGGUUUGUGAUUUUAAUAACCAAAAUCGAACCAUAAUAAUUUCGGUUCGGUUUGGUUUAAUCAAUUUGAUUUUCGGUUUAGCCAUGGCAAAAAUAGUACAAAACAACGAAAAUAGAUUACUUUUUACCGCCGAUGCAAGUGCUUCUACUGUCAAUACAAAGAGGACAUUUGACCUAAUUCAACCCCAAAAGUUAGACAUGAUUACCCAAAAUCAAAUGAAAUGGGACAAUAGUUUGUAACAUUUCGGAUGUGUAACUGUAGCAGGCAAAUAAGGAAGAACCUAAAGUAUAAGAAGGUAAUUUCACGGUUGUCGCACCUACUAUUCAUAAGUUCUCCAUGCAGCCUUGAUUUCUUCCUUGCUCUCCUUGUGGGCAUUUCUUUAGAACUUUACCGAAAGUUUUCCAUAUUGUUCCCUUUCCUCUUUCAAUAUUUUAGGUAAACAAGAAAAAGAUUUUCAUUUUAUAUGUCAAGUGCUUAUCAUUUUAACAUCUGUUAUUGCUCAUGUUAGGCAUAUAUUUUACGCUGAAAAAGCAAAGAGGUGAUCUCAAGCACCAAUGGACAAGAGGAGAACCAGAUACUGAAAUUCGGUUUUUCGGGUAAACCGAAAACCGAACCAUUAAAACCGAUCACCGAACCAAACAUCUAAUGUUUUAAAAUUAUAAAUCGCAAACUGAUCGAAUAAAUCGAAAAACAGAAACCGAAUAAAUCGAUUUCUUCGGUUCGGUCAGUUUUUUCGGUUCGGUCGGUAUUAUGCUUUCAGGUUGUUUAAUAACUAAUAACUGGCUUUAAUUUUUUAUAAUUAUGAAAUACCGCCUUUUCUCAGCAAAAAAGAAAAAGAAAAGAAGGGUAUAUGAAAAUAUGGACAGUGGGUGAGCAGUGAGCUAGUAUUCGCCAUCUUUGGCUAGACCGAUUCAUUUAUAGUUUAAGAAGUUUCUAAAUAUGAUACCAUUAUCCUAAAUAUAGAAGUAAUAAUGAUUGUAUUGGUACUUUCUGUUUACUAACUUAUUAUCCUAUUUCCUGAAUAUGAUACUAUUUACGUAGAAUAGCUAUUGGAUGGUUCAAGCUCGGCGAUCCUACUAAGACCAUCUCCCACCCUUCUUCCUUUUGUCCUCCAAUAUAGAGUAAUAGUUUUUUUUUGGUAAGGACUCUGGUGAGCACUUGCGUACUGGGUAAACUUUUUCGUGUAGUAAUUUGCAAACUACACGGGAUGUAAACCGCACUAGGCAACCUCUGUGCGACAGGCUCAACCCAGGAUGGAUUGAGGGAAAAAUCGAUCUCAGGUCAUCCAUAAAUGACCGCCCUCCAAACCAACUGGACAACCCCGAAGGGUUAAAAUGGAGUAAAGUUACUCCAAUCAUUACUCCAUUUUUACUCCAAAAAGGAAUAGUUCAUUUUAUAUUCUUCUCUCUUCAAUAUUAUAUUGUUAUCUUUUAUUUAAUUUUUAUUUUCUUAUUUCUAUUAAAAAAAAUUCUAUCUUUUUUAUACUUGCGCCAUUCAUUUUUUGAGAUGAUUAUAUAUUUUUUGUACAAUUAUAACUUAUAAUAAAAUUAACUUACAAUUUUACAUAAAAAUAAUAAAUACACGAAAAUUAAUUUAUCAAAAUUAUACGCCAAAGUUAAGAUAUAAAAUUCUAUUAUAAAGAUAUUAUAUAAACAUAAUUAGGUAUAUAAAGAGAUAUAUUAAAAGAGUUAAAUAAUAAAAAAAAUAAUAAAGUAAAAAUGAAUAGUAAAGGAGUAGCGCUCCAAAUUUUAAAGAGUUAAAUUCACUAACACUCUUAAAGAUUUUAUGUCCAACUUCAUAUUGAAUAGUAUUAAGUAAUCCAUUCUCCGUACACUGCCAGAUGGAGCCGGAGUACUUUAAUUUGCUAGGUCUAGCGACAUCAAUUUUAAAAUAGUCAUAACUAUAGAAAUAAUUCCACUACAAAAAGAGAUAAAUCUACGUUAAAUUUUUUUCAGGAAAAAAAAAAGAAGUUUCUAAUCAUCGUGUUUUACUGGAUCACUCCCUGGCCCUCUCCUAAAAUGGUUUGAUUUAAAGAAAAUCAAAUAAGAAAAAGAGAAAACAAAAGGCUACUUAGAGAGAGGAGGAGAAAAUUAACACGUAUAAUAAUAUAACUAACUUUAUUCAUCUCAUAAUCUCUGCAUUUUGCAACGAGAUCGAAACUGAACAAAACAUACACAAAGACAGAAAUAAAAUAUAAAAUAUAGGGUACAAACAAUAUCAAUAGCUUAGACAACAUGAAGCUACAAAAGAAGUUCGCCUCCUAUGGAGGCUUAUUAUUUACGCAUUUUUUCUUCUUCUUCUUUUCUCAUUACCUCUCGAAAAUGGAAAAAGCCUUUCUUUUAGCUCAACAUUCUGCGC
rnacentral:lncRNA from 1 species